ACAACGUUGAUUACAAUUACAUGCAAACUGAAAUUAUGCAAAUUAGGCGAUGACGUCAUUUACCGACUUCGAGCGACUUUUAGCACAGCCAAUAGCUACUUUCCUUACUGAGGAGGUGGCAAAACUGCCUGAGGGUGCAGCCCUUCGACCUCACUCAUGUGGACGACAGCUGGACUGGAGAAAGAGAAGCCCAGAGAGGAGAUGGAGGAGGAAGAGUUCAACGAAAGAAAGAAAUGAAGGCAUGGAGAGCUCAGACAGAGAAAGCUUUCUGUCUCACACAGUAGCUCACAGUAGCCCGCCAAGAGCAGCCAUCCUGGCAAGACUUGAAAUUUGUCGCAGGUGCUGUCGGGUCUAUCGUGGAUUAACAGGGAUCUAUUUUCUUCGGGGGACAGCUGAAGAAACCCAGGUCCUCACUUACUGCUGGGAGACAGACGGAACAUCAGCAGCUCCAUCUCCUGCAGCAGCAUCUGUACCAGCAUGAUGGUAUCAAUGAAAACUGAAGGCUGAUCAGCUCCACUAAAGAACAUCAGGAGAAGAGGCACAAUGUUUUUCAGCUGUGCAUAUGUUUUGUAAAAGACUUUAAUCCUGUUAUAAAAUGAAAUUUCUUAAAUUCAAUUAAAUAAUUAAAUAUCUUUUCAACUGUGUUCCAAAUAUGAAUUGAAGAAGCAUGAAUUAAAUUUUCUUUUUCUAAUGCUUGACAGGCAGUUAAAGAGCUCGCCUGUAAGAGCUCACUUGUCUUUUGGUUCUGAGUAAAGCAGAUGACAUGAAAUAUUCUGCAUACAUUAAUGACAAUAUAUUGCAUGGCUCAGGUUAGGUCCAGGUAAUUACAUUAAUAUAGAGUUAUUUUUUUUGCACAGACUACAAACCUGG
ensembl:lncRNA